GGCAUCUACAUUCAGGAGAGCAGACCCUACACAUAUAAUGUGCUGCUCCUAGUAACCUCUGUGUGCAUCCAGCAACCAAUGAGAGGAGGAGCACACACAGCUAUAUGCACCACCUAAUCAAGGAAUUUUUGUUUA